rnacentral:rRNA from 1 species
CCUACGGGUGGCUGCAGUGGGGGAUAUUGCACAAUGGGGGAAACCCUGAUGCAGCGACGCCGCGUGGGUGAAGAAGCGCCUCGGCGCGUAAAGCCCUGUCAGCAGGGAAGAAAAUGACGGUACCUGAAGAAGAAGCCCCGGCUAACUACGUGCCAGCAGCCGCGGUAAUACGUAGGGGGCAAGCGUUAUCCGGAUUUACUGGGUGUAAAGGGGGCGCAGACGGCGAUGCAAGCCAGGAGUGAAAGGCCGGGGCUCAACCCCGGGACUGCCUGUGGAACUGUGUAGCUAGAGUGUAGGAGGGGCAGGCGGAAUGUCUGGUGUAGCGGUGAAAUGCGUAGAGAUCAGGAGGAACACCGAUUGCGAAGGCAGCCUACCGGACUGCAACUGACGUUGAGGCCCGAAAGCGUGGGGAGCAAACAGGAUUAGAUACCCGGGUAGUC